rnacentral:sRNA from 1 species
GCCAGGCACAGUGGCCCACGCCUGUAAUCCCAGUAAUUUGGGAGGCGGAGGUAGGAGGAUCUCAAGUUAAAAGCCAGCCUCAGCAACUUAGUGAGGCUCUAAGCAACUUAGUGAGACCUUAUCUCAA